rnacentral:rRNA from 1 species
AUGUGGAAUGAUGAACUCAAAGUUUCUGUUCAUAGUGCCUCCUUUCACUAUAUUCUAGCUAAUGUAGUUCAUCUAGCUUCAGGUGUCCAUUUUUGCUUGAUUUGUAUAUAUGGUGACCCCUAUCAUAGGCAGACUAGUACUAUCUGGAGUCAAGUUGUUGCUUUUGUGUAUGAUAACCUAGGGAAGCCCAUGAUGUGUAUGGGUGACCUUAAUGACAUUUUGUAUGAUACAGAUGGUUGUAAUGGUAGUAUUAAUUAUUAUCAUUUGUCUGCUUUUCGUUCUCUUGUUAAAAAUUGUGGUUUUUUUAUAUUGGUUUCAGUGGUCCUGCGUACACUUGGCGUAACAAACAACAUACAGCUAAUCCUAUUUAUAGACGCCUAG